UCGACACCCUCAUAACCUGUCAGAGAAAACCGUCAAUACUCUUUCUGCCAAGUCUCGAACGACUGCUCCCUAUCCUACCUUAUAACCUGUAUCAAAAAUUAUACCAUCCAUAUUGCAUUUCCAGAUCCCAGGCGAUGGAGCUUCCCACAGCAGGGACCUUGACUUGGUGCGUGAGAGUUGUACCUUACCUAUGUCUAUAACUUAAUGUGUCUGUCUCUGUUCAUACAAAAAAUUCCUCGCUAAAAAGAUGGAGGUCUACCUUCAAGUCCACAGAAAUUCAUUUCGCUCAAGUUAGAGGUGCCAUAAGUAGCAAAGUAUCUCCGUUAACUCUCGCUUCACCAUUUUUUUAGCUUGAUGUUCCAUCCAUCUGAAUACUUCGUUGGUCUAUCUUGCCUGGAAGUGUAUACCCAAUUUUUGCCAGCAAGCCCUGGCAUUUUCACAAUCAAAUAAGACAUACUCGGUGGUUUCCUCCUUGUCAUAUCUAGGGUGCACGUUCACAAUUCCAAUCCCUUUCUCCUGCAGUUUAGAUUUUACCAGGGGGAUAUUAUUCAACAAUCUCCAUGUGAAAUUCUUAAAUUUGGGGGGGACUUCUGACUGCCACAAAUAGUUCCACAUGUUAAAUGAUCGUUGUGCAUGGUAUCCAUGGAAACCCACCAAAUGCUAGUAUGUUAAUUUUACGAUGUAU
rnacentral:lncRNA from 1 species